rnacentral:rRNA from 1 species
UACGAAGGGGGCUAGCGUUGCUCGGAAUUACUGGGCGUAAAGCGCACGUAGGCGGCUCUUUAAGUCGGGGGUGAAAUCCUGGAGCUCAACUCCAGAACUGCCUUCGAUACUGUAGAGCUUGAGUUCGGGAGAGGUGAGUGGAACUGCGAGUGUAGAGGUGAAAUUCGUAGAUAUUCGGAAGAACACCAGUGGCGAAGGCGGCUCACUGGCCCGGUACUGACGCUGAGGUGCGACAGCUAGGGGAGCAAACAGG